rnacentral:rRNA from 1 species
GCCGGCAGCUAGCUCUCUGCAACUCUCACAUGGUCGCCCACUGAAGCUAAGCAGGGCUGCGCCCGGUCAGUAUCUGGAUGGGAGACCACUUGGGAAAGCUAGGUUGCUGCCGGAA